rnacentral:lncRNA from 10 species
GUGGUUUUCCACAGUCUUCACAACCAGCAGAGGGAGCGAAAGUGCACAACAAGUAUCUGUUGAAAAAAAAGGAUGUCUCCAGAAAGUCAAUGAGUCCUAUAAAGAAAAUUGUAGCAGACAUUUUCUGAAGAAAAACUAAUGUGUCAAAGGCCUCCUUCAGAUUUGACCCCAGGCUUCUUCUACUUCCUGUCCACGUGGAGCAAUUGCAGUUCAGCUGGUUCCUGAGUUGCUACUGUCCAGCCCCCAUGUGCACGUGCUGGUCUAAGAAGAGGGCAGGGAUAUUGAGAAAGCAACAGGGAAGGGGCAACAGUGACCAUCUCUGCCCAAGUGUGAAGGCCUCCCUG